UACGAAGGGGGCUAGCGUUGCUCGGAAUCACUGGGCGUAAAGCGCACGUAGGCGGAUCGCUAAGUCAGGGGUGAAAUCCUGGAGCUCAACUCCAGAACUGCCUUUGAUACUGGCAAUCUCGAGUCCGGGAGAGGUGAGUGGAACUGCGAGUGUAGAGGUGAAAUUCGUAGAUAUUCGCAAGAACACCAGUGGCGAAGGCGGCUCACUGGCCCGGUACCUGACGCUGAGG
rnacentral:rRNA from 1 species